rnacentral:rRNA from 1 species
AGGAUAAACGCUGGCGGCGUGCCUAACACAUGCAAGUCGAACGUCCUUUCCCGCAAGGGGAAGGGAGUGGCGGACGGGUGAGUAUCACGUGGGUUAUCUGCCUUUAGGUGAGGAAUACCGGCGAGAAAUCGCCGAACAAUACCGCAUAUCUUUCGUAAGAAAGAAAGCCUCGUAAGAGGUGCCUGAGGAGGAGCCUGCGCCCGAUUAGUUAGUUGGCGGGUAAUGGCCCACCAAGACGAUGAUCUGUA